AUGGAGAAGGAAGUGGAGCAUAUUCUAAACUUCAAGGGUUCACUCAAAGGGAGGAGAAUUAUACACCGGGAUAGGAUCGUUGGCGCACGGCUAUUUUACAAGGACUACUUUCAACCCAAACAAAAGUUUCAUGAGGGGGGUUUUCAGCGUCGCUUCGGGAUGAACAAACCCUUGUUCUUGCGCGUGAUAGAGGGCGUGGAGGCACAUGGUCCCUACUUCACUCUCAGAAAGGAUUGUUAUGGACAACUAGCAUUCUCUCCUUUACAGAAAUGCACGGCUGCUCUGAGGAUGCUUGCAUUAGGUACUGCCACAAAUGUCGUUGGUGAGAUCGUUCAGAUGGGGGAGAGCACAUGUCUUGAUGCACUCUCAAUUUUGCCCGAGACUUGGUAA
rnacentral:rRNA from 1 species